rnacentral:piRNA from 1 species
ACCUACCUUGGCUACAGACUGGGUGAAU